GGAUGCGAUCAUACCAGCACUAAAGCACCGGAUCCCAUCAAAACUCCGAAGUUAAGCGUGCUUGGGCGAGAGUAGUACUAGGAUGGGUGACCUCCUGGGAAGUCCUCGUGUUGCAUUCCC
rnacentral:rRNA from 3 species